ACUCAAAUGAAUUGACGGGGGCCCGCACAAGCGGUGGAGCAUGUGGUUUAAUUCGACGCAACGCGCAGAACCUUACCAGGGUUUGACAUCCCAAGACCGCCUAUGAAAGUAGGUUUCCCCGCAAGGGGCUUGGAGACAGGUGCUGCAUGGCUGUCGUCAGCUCGUGUCGUGAGAUGUUGGGUUAAGUCCCGCAACGAGCGCAACCCUCGCCUUUAGUUGCCAUCAUUAAGUUGGGCACUCUAGAGGGACCGCCGGCGGCAAGCCGGAGGAAGGUGGGGAUGACGUCAAGUCCUCAUGGCCCUUACACCCUGGGCUACACACGUGCUACAAUGGCGGUGACAAUGGGCAGCUACUUCGCGAGAAGAUGCUAAUCUCAAAAAACCGUCCCAGUUCAGAUUGUACUCUGCAACUCGGGUACAUGAAGGUGGAAUCGCUAGUAAUCGCAGAACAGCAGGCUGCGGUGAAUACGUUCCCGGGCCUUGCACACACCGCCCGU
rnacentral:rRNA from 1 species